AAGUACAGAUCCAAUAAUAACUCAACUUAGUCAACUUGAUUCCUCAAAGCAUUAAACUCAACAUUACAUUCGUUGACAGUGGUAGUGCUUUUCAAUUUUUUGAGCUCAAUCAACAAUUUAAAAAGAUUAUUUCAAAUAAUUGCUCCCUAAAUAAUUUUGCCAAGUCAUGUUCUAGCCUCUUGAUUCCUUCAUGAACCCUUAAUGCCAUUAUACAACCCUUCCUUUCAAGUGAAUAAGAACAACUAAUCUGAUCUUCAUGUUUUUAGGGGUUUCAUCUAAUUCAAAGAACUCAUUUAUAAGAGAUCGACAAGGUAAUGUGGUCCUUUGCAACUAUUAGUAAAAAUUAAGUAAUUAAUGAACUCAAAGAUUAUUGGACACGCUGCAAGCAAGUAAAAGUAAAAGUCAAUAGAUUCAGUUAAAUCUAAAUUCAAUAUUAAGAGCAUGAAUUUUGAUAGAAAUUUAAGUUAAAUCGAUUUCAAAGUUUCAUCCUGCCAAAAACCCUUACUUAUAAAUUAAUCUAAAUCAUUCAUUCUCAUUCUUCAAACUUUGAGAAUUGAAUUAAAUGGAUUGAUGAUUAAAACAAUAAAAACUAUAUAUAUAAACUAGAAGUACGAACAAACAAUUUUUGGAGAGGUUUAGGGCACUAUCAUUAGUAAUUAUGCUUAAAUGAGUUGUAGAUUGUGCAUAAGAUGUAUAAACUUGAACAAAAAUGUACUGGGAAGCUCACAUGGAUCAUGUUUGUAGAGAUUGAUCAACAUCGAUGACAAUUGAUGGUGGAGGAGCGACACCAACGAACUUUAUUGUUGAUUGAGACUUACGACAGAGAUAGUGUACGAUGAUCUCCUCGUUAGUGGGGCGAAAUCGGAAACCGACUGAUUCGAGUGAAGGCCCGGUGGUCUCAACGGUGGUCCGGAGAGAAAACUACACAUCUGAUAGGGUGGGGUGAG
rnacentral:lncRNA from 1 species